AUGUGGGCCACAGUGGUGCUCCUCGGCGGCUUCGUCUCCAUGAUCGACAAGGUGGACUUCGGGCGGCUCACGCUGAUUACCCUCAUAGAGCUGCUCUGGAUAAACGCCUCUUUCCUUGAAAGGAUAAGAUCUUCUGCUGACCUAUUGUCGAGCUUGAAGGCGGCGAAAAACCUGCUGACACGCAGCUGGCAGCUAGGCGAUAACGCGCGCAACCAUCACCAGGAGCCGCGAGGCAUCAAACGAGAUGCGCUGGCGCUACUUGUGGCGGCGAGAUGGGCACUGGCGCUGGUUCACAGUGUGGUGUUGAGCUUCUGCAUUGCCUCUGUGAUGUGUCUCUUGUUGUUUGGACUGUUGAUCACCACCUUGAUUUCGAUACUCGGUCUAAUUAGAGAUGACCAUUACGGCGACACGGGGGAGGGCAGAGUAAACAUGGACCCGGCACACAAUAUCCUGUAUGUCCUGUGUCUAGCCCAAGGUGCCUUGUUCAUGUAUAGAAUCGCCCUGUUCCUCUCGAGGGAGAGGAUAGUGAAGAAAGUGAGCCGAGCAUAUGGCUUCCAAGAUGAUGGCCAUGCAGUUUCGUGCUACUUGGAUGAGAUCAGGAAAGGAUACUCCAAGAAGAUAUCAUCCGCCAGAGAACGAAACCUCAUCACAUAUGCGAUAGAGCUAAUGGAGUCCAAGUCGCCCCGUAGCUGCCUUUCCGGGGCGCUGAUACUGGAUAGACUACUCACCCGGAAGCAUCCAGAUGAGAUCAAAGCUCCUGAUUUGCCAAAACAGCAUGAACCAUCAGAUUUAUCGGAAAUGGCUGGAGCUCCUUUGGUUGAAAAGGAUAUGAAGAAUAAGAAGCAGAGGAAAAAGAAGAGGGAGGAGAUAAGGGAGAAGAGGGGUGAGUGGAGAAAGAAGAGGCAGCAGAAUCAGCAAACAGAGGAGGAGAUCAUCGUGGUGCAGCGCAGGAUGAUAAGGCGGCUCAUCGGGUCCGCAGCCUCCACACACAUUCUCCAGAAACUGCUUCAUACGCUGGAUUCGUGGCGCCCAUUUGACAAACGGAUGAGGGAGGCCGCCGCGAGGAUAGUGGAGCACGUUGCCAGCGGGAUACGUUUGGUCCAGUUCCCACGAGGGAUCCAAUGCAUAUCUUCACUCCUCAACUGCUUCGAAGAAUACUGCCGACUCCAGCCUUAUCGAUCAUCGUCAUCCUCCUCCUCACUGAACACAAACGGAGACACUACAAGGACUCCACGGUCGUCAAAGGCAAACAAUGGUCAUGAUCAGGAACAAGACAGCAGCAUCCACACAUCGACACUGGAGUCAGAGUUGGAGUACUCAGAAUCAGAGUCAGAGUCAGAAUCAGAAUCAGAUUCAGAGUCAGAUUCAGACAGGGGGAUCGACCGGCCUAAGAUGCUCCAUGGCUACAAAGAGCUGGUUCUAAUUGGCCUGAAUAUCCUAUGGAGCCUCGCAGGCAGCGAGGACAACUGUGCAAUCAUAAGCAAAGCCAAAUAUCCUGUCUCAUAG
rnacentral:rRNA from 1 species